CCUAGGGUGGCAGCAGUGGGGAAUAUUGGACAAUGGGCGAAAGCCUGAUCCAGCCAUGCCGCGUGUGUGAAGAAGGCCUUCGGGUUGUAAAGCACUUUCAGUGGGGAAGAAAGCCUUGGGCUAAUACCCUCGAGGAAGGACAUCACCCACAGAAGAAGCACCGGCUAACUCCGUGCCAGCAGCCGCGGUAAUACGGAGGGGGCGAGCGUUAAUCGGAAUUACUGGGCGUAAGGCGCGCGUAGGCGGUCUGAUAAGCCGGUUGUGAAAGCCCCGGGCUCAACCUGGGAACGGCAUCCGGAACUGUCAGGCUAGAGUGCAGGAGAGGAAGGUAGAAUUCCCGGUGUAGCGGUGAAAUGCGUAGAGAUCGGGAGGAAUACCAGUGGCGAAGGCGGCCUUCUGGACUGACACUGACGCUGAGGUGCGAAAGCGUGGGUAGCAAACAGGAUUAGAUACCCCAGUAGUC
rnacentral:rRNA from 1 species